rnacentral:lncRNA from 1 species
CAAGAAACGAGCAGCAGAGCUGAAUGCAGCAGCAGACCCAGCAUUCAGCAUUUGUUCAAUUAUGUGCUCUGCUCCUGUGCCCACACAGUGCUGUGCAGGGCCUCAUCCACCCAUUUGUCCCUACAGAGCAGGGAUGUAAAGGAGGUGGCAGCUGUGGGCUACAGCCUCAAUGUCUGCCCAAUGCCCAGCCUGGCUCAGCAGUGAGCUCUGGGCAGGGUUUGAGCACGGAGCUGUGGGUGCCUGGAUGAGCUGUGAGGCACAACAUGAGCAAAGCCAUAGCAAAGAGCACUGCGAGCAGAGGUGAGUUGGAGUGUGUCGUGUAAUGGGGUAUAUUGCACUGUUUAUCUCUAGCAGUGUUACAGCUGGGGUGGAUGGAAGCUGCUUCCUUCCUGCUGGGUAGCGUCUUCCCUCUCUGUAACCCCACUGGUUGCUCUGGGGGCAAACCCAAAUCUCUCCCCUUUGGCCCCUGAAACCCUGGGGAGCUCUGGCUCAGAUUGCUGUGCAGGUGGGACUCCAGGCUGUGGGAACAAAGGUACCCACCUGCAUGCAGUGCAAUGAACCAACAGUGCUCUGCUGGGUAGG